UACGGAGGAUGCAAGCGUUAUCCGGAAUGAUUGGGCGUAAAGCGCGCGUAGGCGGCCCUGUAAGUCCGCUGUGAAAGUCAAAGGCUCAACCUUUGAAAGCCGGUGGAUACUGCAGGGCUAGAGUCCGGAAGAGGCGAGUGGAAUUCCUGGUGUAGCGGUGGAAUGCGCAGAUAUCAGGAGGAACACCAAUAGCGAAGGCAGCUCGCUGGGACGGUACUGACGCUAAGGCGCGAAAGCGUGGGGAGCGAACAGG
rnacentral:rRNA from 1 species